rnacentral:rRNA from 1 species
CUACGGGCCGCAGCAGUGAGGAAUAUUGCACAAUGGGGGGAACCCUGAUGCAGCAACGCCGCGUGGAGGAUGACGCAUUUCGGUGUGUAAACUCCUUUUAUAUGUCAAGAAAAUGACGGUAGCAUAUGAAUAAGCACCGGCUAACUCCGUGCCAGCAGCCGCGGUAAUACGGAGGGUGCAAGCGUUACUCGGAAUCACUGGGCGUAAAGGACGCGUAGGCGGGUUGGAAAGUCAGGUGUGAAAUCCUACAGCUUAACUGUAGAACUGCACUUGAAACUUCUAAUCUAGAGUAUGGGAGGGGGAGAUGGAAUUAGUGGUGUAGGGGUAAAAUCCGUAGAUAUCACUAGGAAUACCUAAAGCGAAGGCGAUCUCCUGGAACAUUGCUGACGCUAAGACGUGAAAGCGUGGGGAGCAAACAGGAUUAGAUACCCGCGUAGUC